CCUACGGGAGGCAGCAGUGGGGAAUAUUGGGCAAUGGGCGCAAGCCUGACCCAGCAACGCCGCGUGAAGGAAGAAGGCUUUCGGGUUGUAAACUUCUUUUCUCAGGGACGAAGCAAGUGACGGUACCUGAGGUAUAAGCCACGGCUAACUAUGUGCCAGCAGUCGCGGUAAUACGUAGGCGGCAAGCGUUAUCCGGAUUUGUUGGGUUUAAAGGGCGUGUAUGCGGGAGCGGAAGGCAGAUGUGAAAACUCAGGGCUCAACCCUGAGCCUGCGUUUGAAACUGUGUUUCUUGAGUGCUGGAGAGGCAAUCGGAAUUCCGGGUGUAGCGGUGAAAUGCGUAGAUAUACGGAGGAACACCGGUGGCGAAGGCGGAUUGCUGGACAGUAACUGACGCUGAGGCGCGAAAGCGUGGGGAGCAAACAGGAUUAGAUACCCCUGUAGUC
rnacentral:rRNA from 1 species